CCGCGGCCCCGGCGGCUCCUCCGCGCUCGGACCGCCGCCGGGAUCGGGGUUCCUGUCGUGGGGCGGCGAGGCUGUGGGGAGAACAGAGGAGAGGCCGGGAGGCUGAGGCAGGGGGGCUGGCAGAGGAGAAUCGAGCGUUUGGGAGUGGAUUUUUAUCUGGCUUCUUGGACACCACUUACUGGCGAACUACAGCUAGGAGAGAUUUUUGAGGGCCGGCUGGGAGGCAGAGGCCGCUGGUGCUCGGGUACAAAGGUGAACAAACACCUUCCCAGGUCUCUAGUGAUGGCUCAUCUCCUGCAGAAAGGUGAGUCGCUGCUGAGGGCUGAAUUCUGAAACCGUCCUGGGCUAAGGAACCUCCUCCUCAGAUUGCACCGAAACAAUAUUCACCGAGGGCAGAAGCAGGCUCAGCCUCGUAAACCCACAGCCGGCCCCGUGUGUAUCUCCUUUCAAUGGCUUCAAACCCAAAAGGAAGGGGACGUGCAUUGAGAUGAAGGCGUUUUCUCAGAAGCCUCUGAGGCAACAGUGAGAUGCAGCGGCUGGAAGAAACAGCCAACUUCUGCUGCACUAACAUCUCACGUCUCAGAAAUAAUAGUGCGCGUGGACUGACCAGAUUGGGGGGGGGGGUCGAGUUUUCCAGAAAGACACUGGACAGCUAGAAGGAGAACAGUGGCGUGGUGAGAGGGCUGGACUCCAUCGUGUUUACGUUCUUCUGGAGGAACGCCCGAUUGGCAGCCUAGACGCACAAGAACAUUUGCUGUGUUUUGUGGAAGAACCCGUCGGUUAAAGUGAUGAAGGGACAAGUUCAACUCCCAUCGAGGAAAAUAUUGUAACGACCGACCGAGAUCUCCAAGAGAGCAGACGGAAGGGCGGUGACUGAGCUCCUGGCCGUUGGGGGCGCUCAGAGAGAGCAUCGUUCAGAGAUGCUGUGGAGUGUCUCCUGCAUGAGGUGCAUUGUGGUUUGAGGGAUACAGUGAGGGCAGGGUCCCCUGGAGAGGAGCUGUUUGUCUAGCCACAGGCUGGCAGUAUCUUGGCGGGGGCCCCUAUGUUCCGUAGUCUGGUUCUCAGCUUUCCUCGGCUUGUAACCCAGAGGAUGUCAAUGGAUCAGAUUCAUGGAUUGACUCCUGUUAACCAAACUCGUCAAAAGCAGAUGUAUAAACCAGAAUGUUAUUUAUUAAUAGGCAAUGGAGGGGCUAUAGUAAAGGUGAUUCCAAGGUCUAAUGAUUAAUCGGAAGGUUGUGUUUUGAGCACUAAAUUGAAUUACAGCUGAAGGUAGGCUAAUCUUUCUCAUUCAGGUUUGAGAGGAGGACUACACCUCUCCAGUCACUGCAAGGCUUGAGUACACCAGUCAGUGUCUCCAACCUCCGGCCAGGACCACAGAAACUCGGUGAAAUUCGUGCUUUUGGGGGCCCAGUUUAUCGAUGUCCUGAGCUCCCCUUCUUUCACAUGUUCUUUCUUUAAGUCAAGUGAAAUAGAAUUAAUUAGGCUUCAGCUUUCUCAGUUACAACCACAUCUCAGACAUACCUGCUGGAGAUUAUAUUCAAGCCACGCAGAUCCUAUUUUAGGUGUUGGUGCUCCAGAAACUCUUCUGUUGCAGGAAUGUUGUGAAUGCCCCAAAGCCCACACCCUGCAAUGUCGAGGCAGAGACCAGCUGCACGGCGCCCUCAUCGCCUCCGGGCUCCCAGGUGGCACCAGCCUGGAAGACUUGCAGGGUCCAGGGCUGGGCAGCAGCUGGCUUGCAACUUCCGAACCACACAAACGGUGGGAGGCACAAAGAGCUCAGAGACGGAUCUAUGUAAGCCAGAAUGCCACUUACUAAUUUACAAGAGAUCAGCCCAGGCAAGUGUGCAUGCUCAUGUCAGCCUGGCUGACAUUCUCUUCCUAUACACAAGCCACGUGGGAAGCCAAAUUAUCAUCACGAUGCUUGGUAAUAUAAACCAGAGCACAAGGAGUUUGUCAUAUGAUUGGAAUGUUUAAUGGUAUUGGUUUCUCAUAGCCUAAUGUGUCCAUCUCCAUAAUAGGUGUGUGUGUGUGUGUGUGUGUGUGUGUGUGUGUGUGUGUGGCCGGUGGCAGAAUCCAAGAGCCUCUUUCCUGCCAAUUUCUGGUGUUUCCAGUGCAUCUUUCUGCUUAGCAAAUAUUUGUUGAGCGUCUACUAUGUGUUGUCUAAGAAAGAAUUUGUGCCAGCUUCCUGGCAUGAAGCUCCUAAAACCCUUGGAAUUUCCCAAGUGAUAGAAGGGUCUUUGUUAUUCAUGAGCUUCCUGGAGCACACCGGAGUUUAUGCUAAUGAGGGGACUCUUGGAGAGAUCCCUUUGAUAGCUUCAGGAUGGGAGCUGGGACCAGAAAGAACAACCCUGCAAUUAGAUGGUCAAGACUUUGAGCCAACGGGACCUCCAAGGAGGGGAGAGAGGCUGGAGAUUGGGUUCACUCGGGUGGGCAGUGAUUUAACCCAUCCUGCCUACCAGCAAACCCCAGUGAAAAGUCAGUGGCGCUCGGUGAACACAUUAAUGUGUUGGGAAGGUGCUGCACCCUGAUCCAUGGAGAGAGAACAAGGCAGUGUUGCCAUUGGGCCCUCCCAGAUCUCACCACAUCUGUCUCUUCAUUUGGCUGCCCCAGAUCUGUACCCUUUACAAUAAAACUGGUCGUUAAGUAUAGCACCUUCCUGAAUCCCGUGAGCCAUGGUAGAGAACCAUCAAAUCUGAGGGGGGUCGUGAGAACCCCCAGGUUUGUUGCCAGUUUUUAUUUAAUUAAAAUUGUUAAAGUAUUAUUACAAACUCUUUGUGAACGUGAAAUCUCAUAACUGCAUAACACGUUCUCUUUCAGACAAACCAGAAUUUGGAAUGUUUCAGUUUUUGCCAUUGUCAAACUUCCUGUGUCUCCACCAACAGAGAAAUGGCCGGCUGUCGCGUGACGUAGUGGAAUGCUGUAGAGCAGGUACUAUUGACAUUUUGGGCAGAUAUUCUUCGUUGUGCGUUGUAGGACUUUGACCGGUAUGCCCGGCCUUAUCCACCGCAUACCGAUAGCACCCUGCCUCCAGCUGUGACAACCCACACUGUCUCCAAAUGUCUCCUGGGGGCAAAAUCACCAACCAUAUUCAUUGCUAAUACAGCAAUGAAAACAAAUGAGCCGCAAUUACAAAAGCAAAAUAGAGAUGAAUCUCAUAAAGAUGAAGUCAAGUAACAAAAAGACCCAUUUCCUUUGUAUAGGGCUCACAAAUAGGCAAAACUAAUCUAUGGAGUUACAAGUCAGGAUAAUGGUUAUUCUUGGGAGUCGGUCUUGACUCGAAAGAAUACUGGGGGAGGAGAGUCUCUGGUGCUGAAGUUUUCUAGAGUUUGACUUACUAAUUUUUGAUGUUAAAUAAGACGUAAAAUUAGUUUAUAUAGUCAAAGAUGUCAUAUAUGCCCUAGUCGAUUUGGCUCAGUGGAUAGAGCAUUGGCCUGUGGGCUGAAGGGUCCAGUCAAGGGCAUAUGCCCACCUUGCAGGAUUCGAUCUUCAGUAGGGGGCAUGCAGGAGGCCAAUCAGUGGUUCUUUCUCAUCAUUGAUGUUUCUCUCUCUCUCCCUCUCCCUUCCUCUCUGAAACCAAUAAAUAUAUAUUAAAAAAAAAAAAGAUGUUGCCCUAGCUGGCUUGGCUCAGUGGAUAGAGCGUCAGCCUGUGGACUGAAGGGUCCCAGGUUUGAUUCCAGCCAAGGGCACAUGCCUGGGUUGCGGGCUCAAUCCCCAGUGGGGGGUAUGCAGGAGGCAGCCGAUCAAUGAUUCUCUCUCAUCAUUGAUGUUUCUAUCUCUCUCUCCUUCUCCCUUCCUCUCUGAAACCAAUAAAGAAAUAUAUAUUUUUUAAAAAGAUGUCAUAAAAUUUAUGACAUCUUUCAUCCCUUUAUAAAAGCUUAAAUUUAUACAAGUAAUAUAUAUUCAUUCCAGAAUUAGAUAUUACAGAUAAGAAAAAAUAAAAAAUUAAAUGUAAUUCUAUUGUCUAGAAAAAAACUAUUAUAAAUAUUCUGGUGUGCCCAUUUUCAGACUUUUUCUACACAUAUAUGUACAUGUAAAUAUGUUACAUAAUUUCUUUCUGUAAAAGUGGGAUCGUGGUGUACACAUAUUUAUUAUUGAUUUGAGAGAGAGAAAGGGAGAGACUGAAAGAGAGAGAGACACAGAGACAGCAAGAAACAUGGAUGUGUAAGAGACACGGCGGUUGGUUGCCUCCUGCCCCGCCUGGCCUGGGCUGGGGAUAGAGCCUGCAGUUACAUGCCCGUGCCUGGAAAUCAAACUCUUGACCCUUUGGUGUGCAGGCCAAUGUUCUAACUGGCCAGGGCGACAUGUUUGGGGUUUUUUUGUUUGUUUGUUUUUAAUUUUAAUGAUUUGUCAGCAUCUUUCCAUUUCAAUAAACACAGGAUUCCAUAAUCGUUUUUAUGGACUGAAUUCCUCAACGUUGAAUUGCUGAGUCAAAGGAUAGGAUGCUUCAGUGUUUUUGCUGCGUGCUGCUGAGCGGUCCCCAGACAUGCUGUGUCAGUGCACACAGAGCGGCAUUCAGCGCAGGCAGCACCGAGGCCUCUCUCCACAUCGGGGUGGGAAACAGCGGUGUUUGAGCUCCUUGCUGUUCUGAAGAGGGUUUUUUUUUUUUUUUAAUUUCCAUGUAAAUUCUUUUUAAAAAUAUUUUUUCAAUUACAGUUGCCACUCAAUAUUGUGUUAUAUUGGUUUCAGGUGUAUAGCAUAGGGGUUAGACAUUUACAUAAUUGACACAGUGAUUCCCCGGGAUAAGUCCAGUCCCCACCUGGCACCAUAUAGCAUUAUUACAAUGUUAUUGACUGUAUUCCCUGUGCUGUACUCUACAGCCUCGUGACUGUUUUGUAGCUGCCAAUUUGUGCUUCUUACUCCUUCCACCUUUUUCACCCUGAAGAGGUUUUUUUAAGAGGUUUCUCUUUAAUUCCCCGUACCCCCCCCCUUUUUUUAUUGCGGUUGAUAUUGUACACUUUUUUUAUAUAGAUUUAUUGGCCAUUUAGAUUUCUUUUAAUUUCCUGUUCAUAUUCCUUGUCUAUUUAUUAGGAUGUUCAUAUUGUCCUUUAUGAGCUUAAGAACUAUUUAUAGCCUAAGAUUUUUAACUCUUUGUCCAUUAUACAGCAUGGGGCAAAAGUAGGUUUACAGUUGUUUAUACAGAAAAUAAUACAUUAAUUACUAAAUAAUAACACAAGAAUAAACUCUAUCAAGAACUCACAAGACCUACUUUUGCCCCACCCUGUAUAUAUUGCAAAUAUUUCUUCACAGAAUUUCAUUUGACUUGUAACUUCUUAGCAAUUUUUUUGUCCAGAGAACGUUUACAUUUCACAUAGUAAAAUCCAUCAAUCUCUUGUUUAACAAUGUCCCUGGUGUCUUUGUCAUGCUUAGAAAGUCUUCCUCCAUCUCAAAAUAUAUAUAAACCUAUAUUUUUCUAGUGCUUGUGGUAAAAUCACGAUUCCAUCUGGAAUUUAUUUUGGUAUGUAGUAUGAGGUAAGAAUCUAAUUUUAAUUUUUUCUCAAAUAACUAGGAAGUUGUCUAAUCCAAUUGCCAAAUAAAUUCAUCCUUUCCCAACAUUGAGAUGUCACCCUUAACAUAAAGCAGCGAUUUUCAACCAGCGUGUCACAAGAAUUUUUAAAACAUGAAUACCUGACUACUUAAUUACAGGCGUUGGCCUGUCUUCCCUCAGAUUGUCAAAUAAAAAAAUGACAACAGCCAACACAACAAUAGCCGUCCAAUGUGAAUGAAUCAAAAUUAUACCUUUUUUUUGUCAGAUCGGCAAAAAACAUAUUUUUUGAUGUGCCGCAGAAUGUUAGUUUAUGUGUGCCAUGAGAUGAAAUAGAUUGAAAAUCACUGACAUGUAUGUCCACAGUGGGGCAUGGUUAUAGUUAUCAUGUUGUUAUAACAUACUACAGGCCUAGUGCACGAAAUUCAUGCAAGGGGCUCAGCCCUAGCAGCUGCGCUGGCUUGCCUUGGCCCUCUAAGCCCCAGCUUCGUCCGGAAGGUCAUCUGGAAGGUCGUCUGGCUAUCUGGCCUAAUUAGCAUAUUACGCUUUUCUUAUUAUAGAUAUUUCUUUGAAAAAUUUGUUUUCUAUAUGAUAGUGUUUGCUUUUCUUUCAAGUUAACUUUAUAAUUAUUCUGCUAAAUUUAAGAAUCCUGGCCCUAACCGGUUUGGCUCAGUGGAUAGAGCAGUGGUCUAUCCACUGUGGGUCGCGACCCUUUUGGGGGUCAAACGACGCUUUCACAGGGGUCGCCUAAGACCAUCGGAAAACACAUAUAUAAUUACAUAUUGUUUUUGUGAUUAAUCACUAUGCUUUAAUUAUGUUCAAUUUGUAACAAUGAAAUUGGGGGUCACCACAACAUGAGGAACUGUAUUAAAGGGUCGCAGCAUUAGGAAGGUUGAGAACCACUGGGAUAGAGCAUCAGCCUGCGGACUGAAGGGUCGAAGAUUCGAUUCCAGUCAAGGGCACGUACCUUGGUUACCUGCACAUCCCCAGUAGGGAGUGUGCAGGAGGCAGCUGAUCGAUUGCCGGGGUCCAACCCCAGCAGGUCCAGGGGUUCCCAAAGGUGUGGACGGAGUCAGCGAAGAAGGAAUGACACGGAGACAGUGUU